AUGAACGCUGGCGGCGUGCCUAAUACAUGCAAGUCGAGCGAACAGACGAGGAGCUUGCUCCUCUGACGUUAGCGGCGGACGGGUGAGUAACACGUGGAUAACCUACCUAUAAGACUGGGAUAACUUCGGGAAACCGGAGCUAACACCGGAUAAUAUAUUGAACCGCAUGGUUCAAUAGUGAAAGACGGUUUUGCUGUCACUUAUAGAUGGAUCCGCGCCGCAUUAGCUAGUUGGUAAGGUAACGGCUUACCAAGGCAACGAUGCGUAGCCGACCUGAGAGGGUGAUCGGCCACACUGGAACUGAGACACGGUCCAGACUCCUACGGGAGGCAGCAGUAGGGAAUCUUCCGCAAUGGGCGAAAGCCUGACGGAGCAACGCCGCGUGAGUGAUGAAGGUCUUCGGAUCGUAAAACUCUGUUAUUAGGGAAGAACAAAUGUGUAAGUAACUAUGCACGUCUUGACGGUACCUAAUCAGAAAGCCACGGCUAACUACGUG
rnacentral:rRNA from 1 species